GGACGACACAAAAAAAAUUUAAUGCAUCUUUCGAUGCGUUAUGAAUAAUCUAAAUCUAAAUGUACAUCUCUUUCGAAAAUAAAGGGAGAAAUCGUUCGUGGAGGAUUUUUCUCAAUGCGGUGGAAAAUAAUCGAGACGCUUAAGUGCAGAGGUGUAUGUGAUUUUUAAAAAGUGUCAAUUAACGCCUGUUAAAAUGGGACGCGUUCGUUCCUUGAUUUCUCUUUUUUUCUUUUUUUUUUUUUUCGAAUAAAAGAACACGUCGAUGCAUUCAAUAUUACAUCCAUAAAAUUCGAGACGCUAUUCGUAAUUUACUGUUUUAUCACGGAAAAUCUCGUGAAUCUCGCGGAAACGUUUAAAACGAUUCGUUCGACGUGGAACUAGAAAGGUAGUUUAAUUGGUACUGGUACAAGGAUUCGAAUCGCGUUGAUUAAAAUAUUUGAUUGCACGUUUUGAAAUUUUUAUUUUGAGAAGGAACGGUUGAAAAAUGGUAAUUUAAACAAUAUUUGUUUAAUUCUAUAAACUUGCUAUGUAAAAUUUAUACGAGAGAUAGACAGAAUUAGAUAACCAAAUUGGCCUCGGAUAAUAAUAACAUUCCAUACAUACAGUAAAAAUAUAAAUCAGAAAACUUGGAAAAAUUGGAAAUUUUCAACUUUCCUUCUAUAGAUAAGAAAAAUUAGAAAAAAAAAUUAUAAUAACUUGUGCGAGAAUUAUAAAAUUACUGCAACUUUUCCACAACAACAGAUAUAUCUAUUUGCACCAACGAGAACCAAUCUAAAAUUGAAUUUCUAUUUCUGAAUUCGCGGAAAGAAGAAAAAAAAUUAAAAAUCCCCUUUCUUCCUCUCUUCCCUCUCCCCUCCAUUCCUAGUAUUCCUGGAUGACGAAAGAUCGCGGCCCCGAAGCGAUAUUUAUGAUCUGAAACGGUGGAGAAGGACUGGUUGGAGAUACACAACCCGUCAAGUCCCCGUAACUACAUUGAAAAGGGGGAUUUCACGCUCGUCGCUCAAACACCGACACGGAUACACAAGCGUAGCCGGCGAUUCCGUUUUCUCUGCGAUUUGCACAAUAUCGCGUACGUCAGUGUCAUUUGCAUUCUCCUAUUGCAUUCAUCCUCAUCCCACCGAGCCGAGUUGGAAAGAAUCGUUUCGAAAAAAAAGUGUCCACGUUCAAAAUUCGAUAUAUCCGGCUCUGUGUGUGUGUUUUUUUUUUCUAUUUUUUUUUUACCUUCGUUCAAUCGGUGGAAAUUCGAAAGAUUCGAUUGAAAUUUUUUCCGUUUCGUUUCAUCGUGAUAUUUAAUUUGCAAAUGUCGAAGUUUUUUUUUUAAAUGUAAGUAAAAUUAAAGUUCAAAAAAGUAAAGUAGAAAAAUUAGAAGUUGAAUUUCGAAAAAAUGAUAUUUAUUAUGGAUCGUUCUAGGAUCGUUUGAAAUUUGAAUAGAGGGCGGGAAUGGCGUGGAAAAAUGGCGAAGCUAAUUUUUGAAAACGAAAAUUGUUCGUUUUUAAAUUAACACCGAGAUGAAAGUUAAUCAAGUUAGUCUAUAUUUUCAGAAUUCUUUUCUUUUUAUCCUUUUUUUACACUCUAUAAAUAUUCUUUAGGGAAGGAUUUUAUUUUUAUUACUGUUUUAUCGGCGAUUUCCUCCGCAUUCCUCUCGAUUCUAUUUUAUUGGAAAUCGGUUGAUGGUGGAUUUUCCAGAUUAUUUUUCGUUUCAUUUCCCAUCAAGAUAAACGAGCGAGAAGUUUGAUGAUAUUGAAGUUGUUUCUCUCGAUUAUUUGUAGAUUUAAAUUAAUUUCUAUAGAGGGUAAACAAUGAUUUAUAGGAAAUUUUUCUAAUUUUUCUAAAAAGAUAAAACGAACUUUUAUGAGAUGAGGUUGUUUUAAUAUUGGAUACGUUUCGAUAAAUGGGGAAAAUUUCUCGCUGAUUAAAUGACAAAUGUAUGAUCAUUUAAAGAAAAAAUGAAACGAAUUUUAAAUAUAUUUCUUUUUCGUUGGAAAAUUUUGAGAAAUUUUAAUAUCGAAAUUAUUGUAGAAAUAAAUUGUACCUUUAAAUAAUUCCGUGAUCGUUAAAAAAAAUAUCUAAAACCUGUAUUAUUUUCAUCGCGUUAUUUAUUAUCGAAUUUAUCACUUUUAUCUUGUCAAAAUUAAUUUCUUUUGUUAUAUUUUCCAGCUUGUAUAAAUUUUUAUUAUUAAUUUUUUAUAUCAAUUCUGAAAUAUAAUGCGUAUAGAUUAAUAACAAUUCACAUUGUUUACAAAAAAGAACACUAUAUUAUUUAAUCUCCAAAUUUAAUCAAAUCAUCGAUCAAAAACUUGUUAUCAAUAUCAAAAAGUAGUUUAAAUUCAACCUUUCAAGUAAUGGAUCGAUAAAAAUAUUUUUAGAAAUGUUUUUAUAAAAUAAAAUGUCUCGAGAACAAUGGCAGAUGUUGAAUAAAGUUAAAUAAAAAAAGUUAUCGUAUCACGCGAAAGUCAUCGUGGAAAAUUUUCACAAAAUUAUCGAACUUCGAAUUCUUUCCAUUUCGAAAAAAUUAAUUUGAAAAAUAUUUUCAAAACUUAUCGUUUUUUUUUUUGUUAAAUAUUCAUUUUAUUCGAGGUAAAAGGAAAAGUUUGGUGAAUAUUGUUAGCGAGUUAGGUGCAAUUACGAGCAUUAUGCUCCCUCUUGUUGUAAACUUCGCUCUCUCUCGACAUACUAGUCACCCUAAUGAGUGCUAUGUGCUUAGGAAUACGAAUGCUUAAAGCUAUUACACCAUUUUCAUGCUGAGUGUUCAUAUUUGUCAAAUUGCAAUGUGUGAAUUACGAAUUCUACGAGAAGAGAAAUUCACAUAAUGAUAUUAUAUUAAAUUUUAAAAAGAUUUUAUUCUCCAUGCUUAACAAAUUAACUUAUUUUUGGUUAGAAAAAAUAAUUAAUCCAAAAUGUUUAUUACAAUCUUCUUACCAUCAACCGAAAUGUGAUUUCUUAAUUUUGACCAAUGAUUAAUUAUUUUACCGUGAUAUUUCUUUUUCCCUUAAAUUUUAUUUUUUUUUUUUUAAAUUGCACAAAUACUCGAAAAAUACUCAAUGGAAUUCUUCGGUAUUGAUUUUAGCUUACUUUUAAGCCAGCUUUAUUUUCGAUGUAUAUCAAAAAAUUUUAAAUUUCAAAAAAAUAAAAACUUCCUAGUUUUACCUAUCUUAUUUUCAAGAUAAAUUUUUGAAAAUUUAUAAUAACUAGAAGAAGAAUUAACAAAAAUUUUCACUUCAUUUUGCAAAAAAGAACACUUUUUAUAAAUUAAAAAAUUAUGUCACUGGAAAAAUUAAAAAUCUUUUCAGUGAAUACACUUUCUUAGGGAAGAAUGAUAGAGAAAUUCAACUUCUUCGCACGAGUUAUCUAACUUUUAUUUGAGUUAUUAGCUUCGUCGAGGGAAACUUUGAACAUAUUCCCCCACGAUAAACGUGGAACAAGAUCUAUUUAAAAUACGUUCAACGAUUGUUACUCGUGUUCAACGAUGUUCCUCUGAUACGAUAAUCAUCCACGAUAGAUAAAUAAUUUUAUGUUGAAAUAACGCUCGAUGAGCGAAAUUUAAAUAAUCAUAAUUCAUUUUCGUGCUUUAAUCUGCCAUCUUCGAUCAUUGUAUUUCUUUCGUAUUUUAUUAGAUUAGAAAACUGGACUGAUCUAAUCUACUCUCAUCUGUUUAAAUUAUUCCAAUAAUCCAAUUGAAAUUCUCAUAUUCAUUCUCGAUCGAUAAGUAAUACUGCGUCGAUUUAUUUCUUUAAAAAGAAAAAAAACAGAGAGAAAGAGAGAAAAUUCAAUAAAAAUCGAUCAAAAAAAAUGUCAAAUAUUUAAUUGAAAAAUUUUCACGCGUGGACGAAGCUUACAUCCAAUCGCACGCUACGUUCGAAGAAAACAGACGGAUAAAUAAUACAUAACCCCCGAGAUAGUAUCCUCCCUUCCUCCACGUUCUUUUCCACGGCAAUCACGAAAUGGCGUUUUUUUUCUUCUUCCUUUUUUCUUCUUUUUUUUUUUUUUUUUUUUUGCCGGAAGACACGCAAAUGACUCCGGUUUUGAUACGAUCCGCAAGAAAAACGAAUCCACACGCGACACUCGAAUCCCCGUGCACUCGGCUGUUCCAAUAACAACCAUAAUUCCGGACUUUCUGCCGUGUCGAGCGAAUUUUUCCCCGGGUUUUUUUUGCCCGGCUCACCUCUGUCUUCUCGGGAAUAAUCCAUGAAAGUGGAAUCGAAAAUUUCCGAUUCGAAAAUCCUCGGAGAGAACCGGUAUACGAAAUUUUUUCCCGAAUAUUCCUCCAACUAAAUUAAUUAAAACACGGCUCCCGCAUAUUGGAAUAAGAGAUAUAAUUGUUUUGCCAUGAUUAGAGUGAAAAUAAAUUAGGAAUAACUUUCUGGAGGAAAAAGAGAACAACGGAACACGUACAAGAUAAAGUAUCGAUAAGUGAAUCAAAUCAAAAAUUCACCUAAAUCUGUCCUAAAUCCUCCUAAAUUUUAACAAUAAUAAUCCAAACAAAUACGGUAGAAUGAAACUACCAUUCGCUAUUCGAGGAAGCGCAGAAGCAGGGAAAAUUCUUUCGAAUUACACCAAUUUGAAGGAAGACAGAGCGAACGCUCUAAUUGGAAAUAUUUUCGUAAUUGGGAAAUCCUCGAGGAUCCGGUUGGAUCCAUCACCGGGUUGAGGAGGAAGGAACAAUCCUCGUGUGACAAUCCCCGUUUCCGGCCAGCCAUCCGUCGGAAGUUCGGAGGGGGAGGUUGUCCAAACCGCCGGAAUUCGAGCUGUAAAUAUAGUUUCGUGGGAGUGACGGGGCGCGAACGAGGCAGAAAUUCGAUUUUGCCUCGCGGAAUCUGCGGUCCGCAGAGGUGUUCCGCAGGAACGUAACGACGACAAAGCGUGGAAACCACGCGUGCCAUCUCGGCAAUCCGGCUGUCCUAACUAGGAGGCCGAUAAAUGGACGGCUUGAUGACUUGAUAAUUUAUGAGAGGAGGAUUUAUGAGAGGAGGCUGGUUUAAUUGAACUUUCGUAAUCGAGCAAGUUAAAGUUUAAGUUAUUUUUGGAUUUUUGAAUUAUCGAAAUGGUAAUUACGAUUUGUUAUAUUUGGAUCAAAGGUUUAAUUUAUUUGAUAUUCCUACUCCAAUUCAAAAGUGAGAGAUUAUAGAUACGUAUGGAAUGGUAAAAUUUCAUCCGUGGAAGAGUUAUGUGAUAAUUGUUAAAUUAAUUCGUAAGAAAGUAAGGAUCCAAGGUCUUUAAAAGGUCUUGUUAAGCCCUGUUCGAAGACGAAGUUAAGCCGCAGUCGUGUAUACCGAAAAUUUUCUACCAAAAACAUUCCAUUGGCGUAGGAAAAAACUUACUUUCACGCUUUAAUUGAAGGAAAACAAUUUUUCAGAAGAAUUAUUAGAGUGGAGAUGGAAAGAGAGAGACGAAGAAUGAAGAGAAAUAAUAAAAAUUUCAAAAUAGAAGGCAGAAAAUGACAAUUAGAUUGUACAAAUGAAGAGUGGAAAAUUAUUUUGUAGUCUUAUGACUUUACCAAAAGAGGGAGAAAAAAAAGAAGAAAAUAUGCAUGCGGUAUAAAAUAUUCAAAUAAAGAAAACAGUGGAAAACUGAAGGGUACUCUUAUUUUUAAUUGUAAAAAAAAAAUGAAGAAAGUUUUCGGAACAACAGGGAAUUAAAAAUUCCCUUAUAACUUUAUCCAAACAAAAGAAAAAUACAUCAAAUAUUGAAUACCCAAAUAAAGAAACCUUCGCGAUAGACAUCCACAACUUGCGAAAAAGCGAAUCAAUAAAGAAAUAGAUCCAAAUGAAAAAACUUCACAAAGAACCAAAAAAGCUGAACCUAUCUUCAACAUUCCAAAAUUAGAUUAUAAAAAUUCAAUUUCCAUCUUGCAAAACUAACUUCAAUCUCAAAAAAAAAAAAAAAGAAAAGAAACAAAAUUAAAUGGAGAAAGAAUAGAAAAAUCCCUUUGAAAAGAAAAAGAAGAAGAAGAAUCUUAAAAGAGCCAUGAAAAUUCGAUUUCUAAACAACGAAUUUCCACAACGGAACGCAAUCAAGGCGUUCCAGUUUAUCCAUUAUCGCCAACAGAGGAAUACACUCGUCCCCUACGUCGCGUUAUCUCUUAACCCGCUUAACAAAUUCCUCGCCUCGAGAUAUCCUUUUUUAUUUGCCUUUUCAUCCGUCGUUCACGCAUUGUUUCCACCAUCAUCGCCAGAUACCCGAUCGCGUAAUCAGCGCGUCGAACCCCGUACAAUAAGACAAUGCGAUCCUCCUCCUCCUCUCUCUUUCUCUCCCUCGUCCUCCUCUUUAUCCCUUUCCAUGCUUUCUUUUUUUUUCUUUUCCUCUUCCCCCGCUAUUUUUUUUAUCGAGGGGAGGGGGAAAAAGGCUCACGUCCCACGAGAACCGUUGGUUACGUUCCCAUUUAAUUAUCGGGAUUGAAUUUUCCUUCGAAGAAAGAUCGAGCCUUCCCUAUUUUUCGCGCCGAACGUACAUGGAUAUACGAAUAUGUUAUUAUGGACAAUUUCUUUUAUCUUUUUUUUUUUUUUUUAUUUGGAUCGUCGUGGAGAAUCGUAGUCGUCGAAGGAAACGGAGGACUUUUAUCGAGUUUCGAGAGCCUUCCAGAGAGAACGAACCGACGAUGGCCUAUUUUUAUUUCCGCAAUUUCGGCGCUUUGGGGAACUAGGGAGAAGGAAAAAGAGAGAAAUUGGGCGAAUUUCCGAUGAUCGAGACUUGGAGGAAUUUGUGUUGCAAUAUGGACAAACAUCUGGCAAAACUGAAAUUGUAAGGAUUUACAGAAAAGGAUUUUCAAUUUAAUUUGGAAGAUAAAUAUUUCUAUACUUAACGAAGAUUUGUAAGAUUUUCGAAAGGAAACGAUUCUUAACGAAAAUUCGAAUUAAAGAUAUUAUAAUCAAACCAAGUUCAAUUUGUCUCGACCAACAUUAAAAAAAAAAAAAAGAGAGUUAAUCGAUCUG